UCCUUGUUUUAAUUGUUUCUUUUCCCUCUCAGUAAACAGAGUAUGCGUUUGCUAAAAAAUGUCAAACUGUCAUAUUUGACUGAAUAAACUAUAAGGAUUUUAGAUAGACUAAAUAAUGUUAAUUCUAAGCUGGUCUUGUUGCGAUAUUUUCUUUUCUUAUGGGGGAUGAUUCAGUCAUGCAUUUUAAGUUAUAAACAGUAUUUGUUUUUCAUAGCAUUCAUUACUAGCCAGGCCCUAUGUCGACUUUCAAGGUUUCAGUCUUUUCAAAUGAAAUUUAAAGGACCACUAUUCUUUCCUAUCAGAGUAAAACACAUUCUAAAUCCUAAUAAAUCUAUUCCUUUAAUAUGCCACUUGAAGUACAAUAGUGCAAACAAAAACACAUAAUGGGUUCCUCUUGAGAGAAAGGAAAAUGUAUUCACUUCUGAUGAAAGAUCUUUUGAUAAUUCACUCUUGGCUUCACCACUUGAUUUAUAUCAUCUUCCCACAUUAAUUUGUUUUUAAUUUUUUUCUGCCUUCUAAGGUUUUUCUCAUUUCAGUGACAUAUACGUGACAGAUGAGGUUGAUGAACUACAGAAAUACAGAUUCUAACUCAGAUGAAAAGCUUAAAUUAUUCUGCAGUCCCAUCGAAUUCAAGAAAGAAACUGAGAAGUCGGGAUUUCCAAGGGCUUUGAAACAAAUUUUCGAAACAAGUGAUGAAAUCAACAACGGUCAAAGAAACAUGAAAACAUGCAAUGCAGAAGUAUGAUUUUGGGGAAGCCACCGUCAUUCAUCUUGAAUCAAGAGAGAGAAGCCUCCAAGGAGUGAAGCAAACACCCAGGAAGAGAAGUUGAGAAAUGCAAAAAGUAUAAAGACACGUCCUGGGAAUUUCUUUUGAGCUGUCGUUAAAGCACUAUGUGAAAUUAUUCUCAAUCACUAAAGCAAUAAAUUAUCUAUAUUAAUUAA